UACAGAGGGUGCGAGCGUUAAUCGGAAUUACUGGGCGUAAAGGGCGCGUAGGCGGCCUGGCAAGUGACGGGUGAAAGCCCUCGGCUCAACCGAGGAACUGCCUGUCAUACUGCCGGGCUUGAGUCCGGGAGAGGUGAGUGGAAUUCCCAGUGUAGAGGUGAAAUUCGUAGAUAUUCGCAAGUACACCAGUGGCGAAGGCGACUUCCUGGCCUGUUCUUGACGCUGAGGCGCGAAAGCUAGGGGAGCAAACGGG
rnacentral:rRNA from 1 species